rnacentral:rRNA from 1 species
CCUCGCCCUGAAAAAGCGUUGAUAAACUUAAUACAACUUUCAACAACGGAUCUCUUGGCUCUCGCAUCGAUGAAGAACGCAGCGAAAUGCGAUAAGUAAUGUGAAUUGCAGAUUUUCAGUGAAUCAUCGAAUCUUUGAACGCACCUUGCGCUCCUUGGUAUUCCGAGGAGCAUGCCUGUUUGAGUGUCAUUAAAUUCUCAACUCCGCCGGAUUUGUUUUGACCUCCGGUUGGCUUGGACUUUGGAGCGUGCUGGCGAAAGUUGGCUCCUUUCAAAUGCAUCAGCGGAAUUCAACCUUUGGCUUCCGGACAUCAGUGUGAUAACAACGUUGCGCUGUCGUCUGAAAUUGAAGAGUCCGCUUCAUAAUGGUCUUCGGACAAACAUUGACAAUCAGAUUUGACCCAAAUCAGGUAGGACUACCCGCUGAACUUAAGCAUAUCAAUAAGCGGAGGAAAAGAAACUAACAAGGAUUCCCCUAGUAACUGCGAGUGAAGCGGGAAGAGCUCAAAUUUAAAAUCUGGCGGUCUUGCGGCCGUCCGAGUUGUAAUCUGGAGAAGCGUUUAUCCGCGUCGGACCGUGUACAAGUCUCCUGGAAGGGAGCAUCAUAGAGGGUGAGAAUCCCGUCUUUGACACGGACUACCGAUGCUUUUGUGAUGCGCUCUCGAAGAGUCGAGUUGUUUGGGAAUGCAGCU